AUUUUUUGUAUCAGCCGCCUCCGCCGUUAAUAUUUAUCGGCGCAGGACUCAGUCGUCUUUGGCACAAAACAAAAAAAUAUAAUUGCAAAUUUAUGCUUUUCCUGUUUCAAUGGUUUAUAACAUACAUACCAAUGAAGACGGUGUAUGCAACACAACAGAUUCAUAAUCCUCUACGAUGUUGCAUGAAUAUUAAAUUUGUUAUAAACCAACGAAAAGAACAAAAUAUCAUUGAGCCAUAAGACUACCUACAAGCACGAUACGAACAUAUACAUAUUUUGAAAAAGAAAAAAACAAAAAAAAAAACUCCCUUACUCCUUAAGCUAUCUAAUUAAUUAAAUACAUUCAAACAACAACAAAAAAGCAGAAAACAAAACUUAAUAAAAGUGUGAAUAUGUAUAGAAAGUAACCUGAGGAAACGAACGAAACCUGUAGAGAACAAAGAGUGAUAGACACAAAUAACAAAAAUAAAAACAAACGCACAAACGGAAUUUCAGUUUCAAAGCCAAACCCUUCUUGUUGUUUUAAAUUUUGUGACACCUUAAAAAUUCACACGUCUCCGCUUACAUACAUAGUGCUGAAAUAGAAAACUAAAACAGUAAUAAUUUAUAAUUAUGACAUCAUAUGCCACAUUAAGAGAUAAUGCCAACUCAACUGAAGAUGGCUUAACACCAACAUCAACACCACUGUCACCACCAACUCUGGAAUUGGCAUCUUCCGCAAAUAAUUUAGCAAACAAUACCUGCAUGAAGAAAAUGAAUACACCAACAACACCAGGCUAUGAUCCCGAUUCAUUUUCCGAAAGUGAACGUGAAAAAAUGGACUCAACUCCAGAGAAUAUUAAAAAAAUCGAUGAUGUCAUUGAUGAAGAGGGUCAGCUUCGUCGAGAUAAUACUAAAACCUCUACCGUCCAGCAAGAACAUCAUUAUAAUAUUAAUAAUACACCGCCAUGUUUGUCACCCCGUUCAGAGCAAUCUGCAAGUUUUGGUUUAGCUGCUGCGGUUGAUGACUCAAACGCUAAGUUUUGUCUUGCCAAACCACUUUGCAAUAUUCCAAAAGAAAUGAAUGUUGGUAGUAAAAGCGCUAAUAAAGAAAUAACAAGCAGUAGAGAUAACAAAAACGAUGACGAAGAACUAAGUAGUGGAUCAGCACGGCAAGAAGCAACUACAACAAGCGUAAAGACUAAAACGGCAGCCACAAACGCAGACAAUAGUAAUAGUGAAAAAGAGGCACACUUUUCAUACGAUCAUGGUGAUGGUGAUGAGUCAACAUCUUCGAAUGGUAAUACAACUAUGACAAACUCUAUGAAACAAUCGUGCGCCUUUACCAUAGACAAUUUCAAUGAUAAGGAAUGUGAUGCUGCUGCCCAGGCUGCUAAAUACAAAAGUAUGAUGGAACGUUUUCAAAAUCGCCAUCGACGUGGUGCCUCUAUGUCAAAACUGGAAAAUGAAAAUGAAUCAUCAGCGUCGACAACGAAAGCACAGACACCUACACGUCUAACAAGUUCACAGUCGUCAACACCAUUAACGUCGAGAUCAUCAGCUCGUAAUUCAUUGGCCCACAAUGAUAACAAUGCAAAUUCAUUGGAGUCUGAUACUUCUGCCACACAAAAGGUGAAGUUGCGUGUACGUGAUCGUAGCACCUCACGUGUGCGUGAUGCAUCAAAACGUCACAGUUGGUCGCCACGUUCAAGUACAAAUGAAAGCAAUUUACAAAGUCCACAAUCCAAUACAGCGUCAACAACAACUUCCAAUACAUCACAAUCUGCAAUGCGUAAAACUACAAAAACUGCUAACAAACCACCACCCAUACAAGUACCUAAGGGUUCAUCAAAUUUAGUAGCAAAUCGUACACAAUUUACCCCUCGUUCUACAGCCAUGCAAUUGGCUUUAAAACAAGUGGAUUUUAUGUGCCCUCAACCUCCUUUGGCCGAUUUUAAACAUCUAAAUGCUGAUGCUGACGAUGUCAGCGAAGCUGGAACUUAUACAUUAGAUGGUGAUAACUACACAGAAGAACAAAAAGAUCUCAUGAAUAUUGAUAAAAACGGACAACCCAUAGUGGACAAUCCGCGUAGAACAAAAAACCGUCCAAAGCAAUUGGAUGCUAUAACGCCAACACCCAGAUCACAGGGUACUGUGGAAUCAAAACGCUCCAAUAAUGUCUUAGAAGUUAAUUACUAUCACGAUUCUGAAGCUUUGGAACCACGACAACGGACUAGUACUUCAACAUCAGAUCUAAUAAUGGGUUCUCAUCAAUCGGCUGGAGCCUAUUUGGAGAAAAUUAAGUCUCGUGUGUUGCGCAAUAUGAAUGCCACCAAACAAAUGGACAUUAAACAAGACGUUUUGAAAUCUUCUCACAGCCAACCGACCGAUGAUGAAGAAGUUGAUCCAGAUUUGGGCUGUUUUACAAGUGUCACAACAAGUGGUGUAUUGGCCAAACAAAGAACACUAGAUGCUCGACCUAAACUAUCACGGCAUAGUGGUUUGUCAACAUCUCAAAUUGAUAGUUCGGAGUAUGUAAGUAAUGAAACAAAAUUGAAAAGCUCUGGCACUCCAGCAUCUCUAGCUGGUGGCUUUACGGAUCACCAAAAAGCCGAAUAUCGUCUGAAUGUAUUUACAAACCAGAAAGAUGCUUCACAGAAAUUUGCAGCUACUAGAAACCUUAUAGAAACACCACCGGAAACUCCAACUGGUCCACAACCCACUUCAAAACUGAGUGAAGUUGCAGUACUGCAGACGGCUCAAACGAAACACGAUUGGAUACAGGAAUGGGCACGCAAUGCUCGUGCUCGUAGUUUGGCGAAUGAUCGACAUGUUAGUGUAGGUGUACGACAAGCCAAUCAGGAUAUGUUAAUGACACGGUCGUACACUUGCGCCGACACUGGAAACGAGUCCUUGACAGACGAUAGUCUCUAUAGUGCUCACAGUAAACAGUUCAAUGCCAAGUUGAAUCGGUCAUUGGCAGAGCGAUUGCGUUUAGCAGGAAAUGGUUCAGGAGAAUGUGAUUACGCCAGUGAUCCUUCUCUUACCACUUCGACUUCAUAUUCGAAGCCUCCUAAGAGCCCUACAAAGAUACCUUCGCCACUGCAUUCACUUGGUAGAGCACGCAGUGCCAGUCGUACUAGAGCCUCUCUGCAAAAUAUUUUACCAGCUGAUGAUGAAGAUUACCUGCAACAAACAGCUGCAGCAAUAAAUAAUCUGCAACAAAGUCUUUCCCGUAAGAAUUCUCUCAAAUCUCCAUCGCAUUCAGCUUCUCCACGUGCUCAUUCAGCACGUUCACAUAUCAUGUAUUCACCAGAGGGCACAGCGGUUGACAGUAGUCCACAACAUAGUCUGAAUGCCCAACGUCAAAGGCAAGCAGCACAGAAUUUAAUGACCAGCAGCAUAAACGAACAGCAGUUGCAAAUGUUAACUAGUGGCGAGUAUUUAUUGCGACAAAUGAGAAUGCGUAAGAACUCAUUUGACGGUAACUUGGCCGGCUCUGGUUCACCCCAUAGAAGAGUAUUACAAGGUGGUGGACCUCCACAAGUGCAAUCACCCACUACUUCUACAGCUCCCGAUGAUCAAUCUUCACCGUUGAGGAGGUCUAGUUCAUUUUCUGCACGUGUUGCAGCCACUCAAAGAGCCGGACGUCCAAACUUUCAAAAUCUGUACACGCCACCAGCAGCACGACACAGUUAUGGUCUUAGUGUGGCCCCACAACAUCAGCAACAGUUACAAAUGGUACAAGCAAUUAAGAAAUCAGCGAGUAGUAAUAAUUUUGGCCAUGUAUACAGUGAUUACGAUGACAAUUUACAGUAUUAUAUAAACGACGAAGAUGAUCAGAAUGACAUGGAUGAAGAAUAUUACUCGAGCGGUGCAGAGGACAAUGUCGAGCCCGAAUACUACAAUGAUCAACAGGAGCAAUCAGAGAUUGAGAAUAGUGUGCCACUAUCUAACACUAGAUACAAUAAAGCUUUAUUGAUGCGCAUUGAACGCAGCAAACAAAAGGUGGCCGGCAAACCACAGUCAGCUCCACCUACAAAGCCAUCUGCCGCUUUAUCUGCUGCCGCUGGUGGAGUUAUGGCGUGCCCUAACACACCCGAAUUGCCCAGAAGAAACGUUAAAAGUGCUACGACCCGGUCCAGUGUCACAUCACAACGCCAGUCAAUGCCGAGAGAUACUAGUCUAAGUCGUCUGGCUCAGCAAGUUCCAAGCUCAUUGGCAUCUGCCAAAAAGCAACUUUUACAAACUGCUGCCAACGUACCAUCCACUACGACAGCACAGCGUUCCACAUCUAGUCAAAGAGCUACGCCUCGUUAUCUGGAUAUAUCGAAAUAUAAACCCGCCCAAAGUAACCAAUUUUUACGUAAAAACGAUGCCAAAAGUACUCUUAAGCAACCUUCAAAUGAUAUUAUGAAACGCAGUCCUAGUAGUUCUUCUAUGGGUUUGUCGCGUACAGAUCCAUCACGGGCCAGUAAUCGUUCGGUACGUUCAGCGACAUCUGUUAUGACCACUAGUGGUACUUCACUGGGUGGUGGUGGUAGUGGCAGAGCUUCGUCUGCCGUAAGAAGAGAUGCCUCAGUGAGCAAACAAAAAGAAGCUGAAAUGGCCAUGUGGAAGCGAAGAUCCAAAUACGAUCCCAUGAAAGCGGCUGCUGAAGAUCGACGCAAAAAAGAGGAGGCCAAGCGUAUAGUACAGGCUCAGCAAUUAGGCGUUGUUAGUAUGCCAUCUGAGAGAUUGACAAUACUAAAAAUUAGAUUGCGAGCGAAACGAUGAUUAUUAAGAAAACAUGUUAUUAAUUUUAUUUCGUGACAAUCAAGAUCUCUAUAUCGUCGUGGCCAAUUAUGACUAGAAGGGUUACUUGUAACAGAUCUUUAAAUGUGUUUACAUAUAAAGCCUAAAACUAAACGAUUUAAAUAUGUAUCUAGAAUCAUACAUACACACAUCUUAGUUGUGUAUAUUAUACUCCAUAGAUUUAAUGUAAUCGACUACUAUUAUUAUCACUACUCUACUCUAUACUAACAACAAAAACAACAAUUGAAACAACGAACAAAAUGAAUAUUAAACGAAAUGAAUAAAAAAAAUAAAAUAUGCUUUUAAACGGUGAUUGUAACACUAAAUAUUAUUGCAAUUUUCGAUUUUAGUGUUUAUUUUAUUAAUUAACCGUAUUUUUAUUAAAUUUAAAGAAAUAAACAAAUAAAAACCAAUAACACGUUAUCAUUUAAACGACAUUUUUAAAUGAUAAAUAAAGUGCAAUUACGAUUUUUAUGAUUUCUCAUUUUGACGCCAUCUAUAUAUUAUCUAUUAUCCACCCACUACUGUUUACUCUCGUACGAAUAUCAAAUAAAACGAACGAUCUUUGGAACAACAAUGGUCAAUUGAAGAGACUGGAGAUUUUGACGAAGAUGACUGUGUUUAAAUUGAAAAAAACAAAUUCCUGUAAUAACAUAACAAUCGCUUAACAAAUUUCAGCAAUGCGAUAAUAUUACGAAACAAAGAAAAAUAAUUAAUUAAUUGUUUUCCUUUUUAAUUUUUGUAUAGAGUCAAACAACGUGAUAUAGCUUACCUUAACAAACAAAGAACUUUAAUUAAAUUAUUUAAGAAUUUACUUUUAUUGAGCAAAAAAGAAAAAAAAAAACAUACCAAGAAAUCAUAAGAGUGCAUUCGUAUGAUUUUAUUUUAUCAUUUAUAUGGUUAAAAAAA